AGUUUAGGGCUUGGCUUCGAGAAAUCUGUUCGACUUAUAAGUGGUCAGAUGGCCUUCAAUUUUUCGUUGGGUAUCAUGUUUGAGAGGAUUUGCAAGCAUUAUUCCGCGAAAGAUGGAAGCAUUCGAUUGAAAUGACGUUUGUUGAAGUCAUCGGGCCUUUCUUGGAUGUGGAUAGCGUCGUCACGCAUUGGGUAGUGGAGGAUAGUUGCGCAAAGGAAGCAGCUAGUGAGUGAGUCGAGAUUGUGUCCACAGCCAAUUAAUUAAGGAGCAGGUUGCUUCAAAGUUCUAACAGCGUUCGUCGGAAGAGAUUUGGUAAGUUGUUCUAGUGACUGGGUUUUGGUAUCGGUGUUGGAGGUGGAGAAAGAAGAGGAGAUGGGACGGGCGCAGGAUGCGUCGAUAUCCUCCUGCUAUACUAGAAUAUGAUGUAGUUACGUAAGAUCAACACUGCCAUCUUUGUGGAUAUCUGGUUUGGUUCAAUUUUCAUGGGCUUUGCUAAUAGGCUGCGAUAGCGUAGAAAAGUCUAGGCAUAAGACGGGAUGGUUGCUUAUUCUCAUAUCAGAGGGUAUAGUAAUCAAGGAAGUAGAAUUCAAAACAUUUCCUCUAGGAACAAGUGCAAGUUAAACAGCAUCAGAUGAGAAGACUACUGAUGAGAAGGCUUCAACUUCGGAAACCUUGAGGAGCACCAUCAAGCGUGACACGAAAUGGAUAUUCUUCUUGGGAGUUCCAAUGUCCACAGCUCCCCACAUUAUGCGUUCUGUGACCGUGUCCUGCAUGGCGUCCCUCAGGGAAGCUCAACGCAAAGCAUCCUUAAAUUAGAGAACCAAUGAGAUCUCAUGCCUCAAUAGACAGAAACUGGAAUGAUCAAAGGGUGUGAACGACUUGGAAGAGGUAUGAAAUCACCAUGGCCACAAUCCAUUGAAUGUGUUCUAGAACUCCAUCUGGAUUCCUUCUGCACAAUAACUUCAAAAACAAUCUACAGCUUUAGCUGUCUUUGAGGUGUUCAGUGCCCAGGGAAACUUUUUUUUUUUAAUUUUUUGACACAAAUAGUGAGUUACUCUACUCCAAGUAAAAUAAAAUUAUAGUACUGGGCCAGGUCUGGCCAAGUGUAUUAAAGUUACUUAUGGGUUACUAUUUACAAAUGAGUUAAUCGGACUAGAAAGCUUCCAUUCUGGUCAAUUGCAUUCC